CAGCCGCCGCGGGAAUACGUAGGUGGCAAGCGCUGUCCGGAAUUAUUGGGCGUAAAGGGAGCGCAGGCGGACAUAUAAGUCCAUCUUAAAAGUGCGGGGCUCAACCCCGUGAGGGGAUGGAAACUGUAUGCCUUGAGUGCAGGAGAGGAAAGCGGAAUUCCCAGUGUAGCGGUGAAAUGCGUAGAUAUUGGGAGGAACACCAUAGGCGAAGGCGGCUUUCUGGACUGCAACUGACGCUGAGGCUCGAAAGCCAGGGGAGCGAACGGGAUUAGAUACCCCCGUAGUCCCUGUCUCUUAUACA
rnacentral:rRNA from 1 species